CUGAGAAUCACCAUAGACACUCUUCAUCUACUUGCUGGGACUUAUUUGUUAGGCUCCACCUGGCAGUUCUUAGAAUUUCUGAUGCUGUAAGGUAUGCUAAACAAGCUGAAUGCCAAAACUGCCAGAUACCUACGUUAAAAUGGAAUUACUGGGCCGAAAUCAGAAGCCAUUUAAAUCUUCAACAAGCUCUCACUGUGGCUCUUGAUUCAGAAAACCAUGGUUUCCGUGAGACCAGUGGUGUUCCUGACAGAAGUUUUGCUUGAACAGAGGAGACCUCUUCCAAGGGGUCAUUUACAAUAGCAAGUGCAAACGAAAUGUCAAGAAUCUGCAAAUCUCGGUGACUUAUCGCUUUGGCGGAAAAGAAGAUGUGCCACAGGAGCACCUCAGGUGCAUCUUCACCUUCAGACCCUGUGUUGUUGACACCUAAGAAGAUGCUCUGUCCACAGUUUACAUUUCAGCCAUUUGGAUUUCUGAACACUCCUGCUUUCCCCUUGGAGUAUUUUA
rnacentral:lncRNA from 1 species